rnacentral:rRNA from 1 species
UACAGAGGGUGCAAGCGUUAAUCGGAAUUACUGGGCGUAAAGCGUGCGUAGACGGUUACAUAAGUCGGGUGUGAAAGCCCCGGGCUCAACCUGGGAAUUGCAUUCGAGACUGCGUAGCUAGGGUGCGGAAGAGGGAAGCGGAAUUUCCGGUGUAGCGGUGAAAUGCGUAGAGAUCGGAAAGAACACCAACGGCGAAAGCACUCUGCUGGGCCGACACUGACACUGAGAGACGAAAGCUAGGGGAGCGAAUGGG